rnacentral:rRNA from 1 species
CUACGGGACGCUGCAGUGGGGAAUAUUGCACAAUGGAGGAAACUCUGAUGCAGCAACGCCGCGUGGAGGAUGACACUUUUCGGAGCGUAAACUCCUUUUAUAUAGGAAGAAGAUGACGGUACUAUAUGAAUAAGCGCCGGCUAACUCCGUGCCAGCAGCCGCGGUAAUACGGAGGGCGCAAGCGUUACUCGGAAUCACUGGGCGUAAAGAGCGUGUAGGCGGAUUAAAAAGUCAGAAGUGAAAUCCUAUGGCUUAACUAUAGAACUGCUUCUGAAACUCUUAAUCUAGAAUAUGGGAGAGGUAGAUGGAAUUUCUGGUGUAGGGGUAAAAUCCGUAGAGAUCAGAAGGAAUACCGAUUGCGAAGGCGAUCUACUAGAACAUUAUUGACGCUGAGACGCGAAAGCGUGGGGAGCAAACAGGAUUAGAUACCCUUGUAGUC